UAGGGAAUAUUGGUCAAUGGACGAGAGUCUGAACCAGCCAUGCCGCGUGCAGGAAGACGGCCUUCUGGGUUGUAAACUGCUUUUGACAGGGAAGAAAAAGGUCAUGCGUGACCAACUGACGGUACCUGUAGAAUAAGCACCGGCUAACUCCGUGCCAGCAGCCGCGGUAAUACGGAGGGUGCAAGCGUUGUCCGGAUUUAUUGGGUUUAAAGGGUGCGUAGGUGGCCUAUUAAGUCAGUGGUGAAAUCCUCCAGCUUAACUGGGGAACUGCCAUUGAUACUGGUAGGCUUGAGUGUCGUAGAGGCAGGCGGAAUUUAUGGUGUAGCGGUGAAAUGCAUAGAUACCAUAAAGAACACCGAUAGCGAAGGCAGCUUGCUUAGCGACAACUGACACUAAUGCACGAAAGCGUGGGUAGCGAACAGGAUUAGAUACCCUGGUAGUCCACGCCGUAAACGAUGAUUACUCGAUGUAUGCGAUAGACAGUAUGCGUCCAAGCGAAAGCGUUAAGUAAUCCACCUGGGGAGUACGCUCGCAAGGGUG
rnacentral:rRNA from 1 species